UUCUUUUUCUUUUCAUUUAACUACUCCAUUCCAUUUCAUUCUCUAUAUAAAAGCCUCCUCAAGGCUUAGCUCGAUGCCUCUCCUCAUAUUCUAUACAGACCUACAUUUCCAUUUCAUAACCCUUUUUCUUUUCUUUUUUUGAAACUUAACGAGAAAAAAUGGUGCAGCCCAAGUAUCUUAAGCUUUAUGUUAUUAUAGUGAUGAUGAUGUUGAAUAUUUUUUUCACUACUCUAUGCCCAAGUGGUGCAGAAGGUAGGACAUUGAAAAUCAGGCAUAAACAAGGUUAUUAUAACUUGAAGAGUUUUGAUGAAACACUUGGAGUUGUGUGCAAGUGCUGCGAUGGUGAGAAAGGUUCAUGCACAACUAACUGGGAUGCGCCUUGCUCCAAACUACAAUGCCUUCCUUGGAAGUUUCAUUAUUAAUUCUUAUAGUAAUAAUAAUAAUUAAGUUAUUUAUUAGAAUAAGGUGAUGACCCCACUGUUUAAUACAAUUGUAAUUUGUGUUACUUUACAUAUAUAAGUUCAAUUAAUUAUGUGUUUCUAAAUUCCGUUUAUUAACUAACCUUGAUCGUUCAUCCAUUUAAUCUA